rnacentral:tRNA from 1 species
GCUUGGCUGGCUCAGUCGGUAGAGCAUAUGACUUUUGAUCUCAGGGUCAUGAGUUCAAGUCCGAUGUUGGGUG